rnacentral:rRNA from 1 species
UACAGGGGGGGCAAGCGUUGUUCGGAAUUACUGGGCGUAAAGGGCCAGUAGGCGGCCAACUAAGUCACACGUGAAAUCCCCAGGCUUAACCUGGGAACUGCGUGUGAUACUGGAUGGCUUGAAUUCGGGAGAGGGAUGCAGAAUUCCAGGUGUAGCGGUGAAAUGCGUAGAUAUCAUUUGGAACGCCAAUGGUGAAAACAGGUUGCUGGGGGUGUGCUGACGCUGAGACACGAAAGCCAGGGGAGCGAACGGG